ensembl:lncRNA
CAGGAAGUUAAUUUAUGAAAUAUUUAUUGUGCUUUUCUUUUUGUUUUAUAUUUUUCACAUAUUUCAUUUGUAUUUGAUAUGUCUGAAAUAAAUUCUAUCAAUAGUUCCAGUUGUAUCUCAGUCUGGAGGGUUGCUGGUUCUAGUCCAGUGUGAUGCAGUGUUAGAGUGGUUUGAGAGUUAUAAGCUAAAUGGAUAAGAUAUUUACUUUUUGAGAAAUACAAUUUUCAUCUCAGUCCAGCAGAAACAUUUCUGAUAGUAGAUAUAAUCAGUGGCAAAUUAAAUGUCAGGUGUUAAAACAUUUUUUUUUUGUAUAACAUAGAGGAAAAAGAUCUUCCUACCACUUAAAAUCAAAAAUGGAAUAUCAUCUAUGAUGUUUUUAGUGUCAUCCACUGAGCCAUCACCGCUCAAAUUUGCUACAUGUUUGCAUGAACUUUCCUAUGGUGUAAUGCACUAGGCCGAAUUGUCAUUUAUUAACUAAGUUUGACUAUCCGGAAUUAACAUUGUAGAUAUCAACAGCUUCUUUCUGACUAGUCGUAAUUACAUUUUGAAUAGUUGGAAUUUUGAUUCAAGAUAUCUGUAACGUAAUUGUGACUAGUCGAAACGACAGAGAUAUCUGUAAUUCAGUUUUGACUAGGCAGAAUGAAAGUUAAAGAUAUCUCAAACAUCAUUUGAGUGCGAAUUAAUGGGCGUGAAAUUUUAGAUAUCCAGAAAUAGGUAAUUUCCCCAUGCCGCCAUAAUCAAAGAAGUUGGUUCAUUUCCUUAUUUCUAUGAGAAAGGAGCAGUCAUGGCGUUGGCUGUUAUUGAUAAAACCAUCAGAAAAUGCCAUGAAAUUGAACGAGCCCUCACACAUAAAGUGAACACAGGUGAAUUGUGUGAAUGAUGAUUUGAACGACAACGACCUGCUCCGCUCCCGCCUAAAGCGGGAGGUGGUCCUAUAAUUUGUCAUUACAGAUAUCUGAAACGUCAUUUUGCCUAGUCAAAACUGAAGUUCAAGAUAUCUGUAAUUAGAUUUUGACUAGGCGGAAUGAAAGUUACAGAUAUCUACAAUUUUAGAUAUCUCUAAUCAAAAUUCCUUUCAAGAUAUCCAUAACUUCAUAAUAGAUAUCUACAACGUCAUUUUGACUAGUCAUAACUCCAGUUAGAGAUAUCUACAAUGUCA